CCUACGGGCGGCUGCAGUGGGGAAUAUUGGACAAUGGGGGCAACCCUGAUCCAGCCAUGCCGCGUGUGUGAAGAAUGCCCUCGGGUUGUAAAGCACUUUCAGUGAGGAAGAACGCCUGGUGGUUAAUACCCAUCAGGAAAGACAUCACUCACAGAAGAAGCACCGGCUAACUCCGUGCCAGCAGCCGCGGUAAUACGGAGGGUGCGAGCGUUAAUCGGAAUUACUGGGCGUAAAGCGCGCGUAGGUGGCUUGAUAAGCCGGUUGUGAAAGCCCCGGGCUCAACCUGGGAACGGCAUCCGGAACUGUCAAGCUAGAGUGCAGGAGAGGAAGGUAGAAUUCCCGGUGUAGCGGUGAAAUGCGUAGAGAUCGGGAGGAAUACCAGUGGCGAAGGCGGCCUUCUGGACUGACACUGACACUGAGGUGCGAAAGCGUGGGUAGCAAACAGGAUUAGAUACCCUAGUAGUC
rnacentral:rRNA from 1 species